rnacentral:rRNA from 1 species
GCCUGCUAUCUCUUACCCAUGUCUUUUAAGUACCUUCGUUUCCUCGGCGGGUUCGCCCGCCGAUUGGACAAUUUAAACCAUUUGCAGUUGCAAUCAGCGUCUGAAAAAACUUAAUAGUUACAACUUUCAACAACGGAUCUCUUGGUUCUGGCAUCGAUGAAGAACGCAGCGAAAUGCGAUAAGUAGUGUGAAUUGCAGAAUUCAGUGAAUCAUCGAAUCUUUGAACGCACAUUGCGCCCCUUGGUAUUCCAUGGGGCAUGCCUGUUCGAGCGUCAUUUGUACCUUCAAGCUCUGCUUGGUGUUGGGUGUUUGUCUCGCCUCUGCGUGUAGACUCGCCUCAAAACAAUUGGCAGCCGGCGUAUUGAUUUCGGAGCGCAGUACAUCUCGCGCUUUGCACUCAUAACGACGACGUCCAAAAGUACAUUUUUACACUCUUGACCUCGGAUCAGGUAGGGAUACCCGCUGAACUUAAGCAUAUCAA